UUAAGCGACUAAGCGUACACGGUGGAUGCCCUGGCAGUCAGAGGCGAUGAAGGACGUGCUAAUCUGCGAUAAGCGUCGGUAAGGUGAUAUGAACCGUUAUAACCGGCGAUUUCCGAAUGGGGAAACCCAGUGUGAUUCGUCACACUAUCAUUAACUGAAUCCAUAGGUUAAUGAGGCGAACCGGGGGAACUGAAACAUCUAAGUACCCCGAGGAAAAGAAAUCAACCGAGAUUCCCCCAGUAGCGGCGAGCGAACGGGGAGCAGCCCAGAGCCUGAAUCAGUGUGUGUGUUAGUGGAAGCGUCUGGAAAGGCGUGCGAUACAGGGUGACAGCCCCGUACACAAAAAUGCACAUGCUGUGAGCUCGAUGAGUAGGGCGGGACACGUGGUAUCCUGUCUGAAUAUGGGGGGACCAUCCUCCAAGGCUAAAUACUCCUGACUGACCGAUAGUGAACCAGUACCGUGAGGGAAAGGCGAAAAGAACCCCGGCGAGGGGAGUGAAAAAGAACCUGAAACCGUGUACGUACAAGCAGUGGGAGCACAGAGCAAUCUGUGUGACUGCGUACCUUUUGUAUAAUGGGUCAGCGACUUAUAUUCUGUAGCAAGGUUAACCGAAUAGGGGAGCCGAAGGGAAACCGAGUCUUAACUGGGCGUUAAGUUGCAGGGUAUAGACCCGAAACCCGGUGAUCUAGCCAUGGGCAGGUUGAAGGUUGGGUAACACUAACUGGAGGACCGAACCGACUAAUGUUGAAAAAUUAGCGGAUGACUUGUGGCUGGGGGUGAAAGGCCAAUCAAACCGGGAGAUAGCUGGUUCUCCCCGAAAGCUAUUUAGGUAGCGCCUCGUGAAUUCAUCUCCGGGGGUAGAGCACUGUUUCGGCAAGGGGGUCAUCCCGACUUACCAACCCGAUGCAAACUGCGAAUACCGGAGAAUGUUAUCACGGGAGACACACGGCGGGUGCUAACGUCCGUCGUGAAGAGGGAAACAACCCAGACCGCCAGCUAAGGUCCCAAAGUCAUGGUUAAGUGGGAAACGAUGUGGGAAGGCCCAGACAGCCAGGAUGUUGGCUUAGAAGCAGCCAUCAUUUAAAGAAAGCGUAAUAGCUCACUGGUCGAGUCGGCCUGCGCGGAAGAUGUAACGGGGCUAAACCAUGCACCGAAGCUGCGGCAGCGACGCUUAUGCGUUGUUGGGUAGGGGAGCGUUCUGUAAGCCUGUGAAGGUGUACUGUGAGGUAUGCUGGAGGUAUCAGAAGUGCGAAUGCUGACAUAAGUAACGAUAAAGCGGGUGAAAAGCCCGCUCGCCGGAAGACCAAGGGUUCCUGUCCAACGUUAAUCGGGGCAGGGUGAGUCGACCCCUAAGGCGAGGCCGAAAGGCGUAGUCGAUGGGAAACAGGUUAAUAUUCCUGUACUUGGUGUUACUGCGAAGGGGGGACGGAGAAGGCUAUGUUGGCCGGGCGACGGUUGUCCCGGUUUAAGCGUGUAGGCUGGUUUUCCAGGCAAAUCCGGAAAAUCAAGGCUGAGGCGUGAUGACGAGGCACUACGGUGCUGAAGCAACAAAUGCCCUGCUUCCAGGAAAAGCCUCUAAGCAUCAGGUAACAUCAAAUCGUACCCCAAACCGACACAGGUGGUCAGGUAGAGAAUACCAAGGCGCUUGAGAGAACUCGGGUGAAGGAACUAGGCAAAAUGGUGCCGUAACUUCGGGAGAAGGCACGCUGAUAUGUAGGUGAAGUCCCUCGCGGAUGGAGCUGAAAUCAGUCGAAGAUACCAGCUGGCUGCAACUGUUUAUUAAAAACACAGCACUGUGCAAACACGAAAGUGGACGUAUACGGUGUGACGCCUGCCCGGUGCCGGAAGGUUAAUUGAUGGGGUUAGCGCAAGCGAAGCUCUUGAUCGAAGCCCCGGUAAACGGCGGCCGUAACUAUAACGGUCCUAAGGUAGCGAAAUUCCUUGUCGGGUAAGUUCCGACCUGCACGAAUGGCGUAAUGAUGGCCAGGCUGUCUCCACCCGAGACUCAGUGAAAUUGAACUCGCUGUGAAGAUGCAGUGUACCCGCGGCAAGACGGAAAGACCCCGUGAACCUUUACUAUAGCUUGACACUGAACAUUGAGCCUUGAUGUGUAGGAUAGGUGGGAGGCUUUGAAGUGUGGACGCCAGUCUGCAUGGAGCCGACCUUGAAAUACCACCCUUUAAUGUUUGAUGUUCUAACGUUGACCCGUGAUCCGGGUUGCGGACAGUGUCUGGUGGGUAGUUUGACUGGGGCGGUCUCCUCCUAAAGAGUAACGGAGGAGCACGAAGGUUGGCUAAUCCUGGUCGGACAUCAGGAGGUUAGUGCAAUGGCAUAAGCCAGCUUGACUGCGAGCGUGACGGCGCGAGCAGGUGCGAAAGCAGGUCAUAGUGAUCCGGUGGUUCUGAAUGGAAGGGCCAUCGCUCAACGGAUAAAAGGUACUCCGGGGAUAACAGGCUGAUACCGCCCAAGAGUUCAUAUCGACGGCGGUGUUUGGCACCUCGAUGUCGGCUCAUCACAUCCUGGGGCUGAAGUAGGUCCCAAGGGUAUGGCUGUUCGCCAUUUAAAGUGGUACGCGAGCUGGGUUUAGAACGUCGUGAGACAGUUCGGUCCCUAUCUGCCGUGGGCGCUGGAGAACUGAGGGGGGCUGCUCCUAGUACGAGAGGACCGGAGUGGACGCAUCACUGGUGUUCGGGUUGUCAUGCCAAUGGCACUGCCCGGUAGCUAAAUGCGGAAGAGAUAAGUGCUGAAAGCAUCUAAGCACGAAACUUGCCCCGAGAUGAGUUCUCCCUGACUCCUUGAGAGUCCUGAAGGAACGUUGAAGACGACGACGUUGAUAGGCCGGGUGUGUAAGCGCAGCGAUGCGUUGAGCUAACCGGUACUAAUGAACCGUGAGGCUUAACCUU
rnacentral:rRNA from 1 species